UAACACUUGAGAAGAAUCUGGGUGGGA
rnacentral:piRNA from 1 species